rnacentral:snRNA from 1 species
UUCAGAAAGUCAAGAAGCACGGCUUCAAGUACCCUGGCAACAGGCCAGAUACAGUGAAGCACGUCCAUGGGAAAGUGGUCUUG